rnacentral:lncRNA from 1 species
UGCAAAUGAGUCCGCGUGAUGGGGACGUGGCAACUGACUGACGGGCUUUCUCUGAAGUGGAGAAGGACAUCUGUGUUUUCCAUAUUGCGGAACACCGGAUCUUUCCAAGUCACACAUUUGGGAAGACAGCUGAAUUGCCUUCAAGUUCCUCCUGUUAUGGUACAAAUACCCACCUGGUGUGCAAACAUGAGAGACGCAGCUUUACACUAGAACCAAUGAAAGCAAAUUUGAGAAAACCCAACUCUUUAGGAAUGGAGACUACAGAUGUAUGAGGGGAUCUUAAUAAUUAAAAGAAGAAAAUAUGUAAACAGGAAAAAUAUCCAACUGUCACAAAACUCUACACUAAAUCAAACUGCAAAGUUUUGUCUUUUUAAA